rnacentral:rRNA from 1 species
AACCAAGAGACCGGCGCACGGGUGCGUAACGCGUAUGCAAUCUACCUUUUGCAGAGGGAUAGCCCAGAAGAAAUUUGGAUUAAUACCUCAUAGUAUAGUACUUUGGCAUCAAGGAACUAUUAAAGUCACAACGGCAAAAGAUGAGCGUGCGUCCCAUUAGCUAGUUGGUAAGGUAACGGCUUACCAAGGCUACGAUGGGUAGGGGUCCUGAGAGGGAGAUCCCCCACACUGGUACUGAGACACGGACCAGACUCCUACGGGAGGCAGCAGUGAGGAAUAUUGGACAAUGGGCGCAAGCCUGAUCCAGCCAUGCCGCGUGCAGGAUGACGGUCCUAUGGAUUGUAAACUGCUUUUAUACAGGAAGAAACACUCCGACGUGUCGGAGCUUGACGGUACUGUAAGAAUAAGGAUCGGCUAACUCCGUG